CCUACGGGAGGCGGCAGUGGGGAAUAUUGCACAAUGGGGGAAACCCUGAUGCAGCGACGCCGCGUGGAGGAAGAAGGUCUUCGGAUUGUAAACUCCUGUUGUUGAGGAAGAUAAUGACGGUACUCAACAAGGAAGUGACGGCUAACUACGUGC
rnacentral:rRNA from 1 species